rnacentral:rRNA from 1 species
UACGAAGGGGGCUAGCGUUGUUCGGAAUCACUGGGCGUAAAGCGCGCGUAGGCGGACCUGUCAGUCAGGGGUGAAAGCCCGAGGCUCAACCUCGGAACUGCCUCCGAUACUGCGGGUCUCGAGUCCGGGAGAGGUGAGUGGAAUUCCUAGUGUAGAGGUGAAAUUCGUAGAUAUUAGGAAGAACACCAGUGGCGAAGGCGGCUCACUGGCCCGGUACUGACGCUGAGGCGCGAAAGCGUGGGGAGCAAACAGG